UACAGAGGUCUCAAGCGUUGUUCGGAUUCAUUGGGCGUAAAGGGUGCGUAGGCGGCGCGGUAAGUCGGGUGUGAAAUCUUGGAGCUUAACUCCGAAACUGCAUUCGAUACUGCCGUGCUUGAGGACUGGAGAGGAGACUGGAAUUUACGGUGUAGCGGUGAAAUGCGUAGAUAUCGUAAGGAAGACCAGUGGCGAAGGCGGGUCUCGUGGACAGUUCCUGACGCUGAGGCACGAAGGCCCAGGGGGAGGCAAACGGGG
rnacentral:rRNA from 1 species